AGUUGCUUAAAACCACACGAGUGAGUUCGCGAGUUCACAAAAUUGAUUCCGAGUGUAAUGAACUACCAAGCAGCAUCCAAUGUAUGCUGUUUUAUUGCCUAUCCACCCGGAAUAUUGUUGUUACGAGUACAUUUUCCCACCCAAGGACCUGAGAGUUCAAAACCAAAAAAGUAUAAUAAGACAACUGGCAAAUUCUUGAAUAUCAAAAGAUUAUUCUAAAUUAAUGUAUAAUUUCGCAACAUUUAUGUCGUUAUUUUAUUCACUGACAGACUAAUAAUAAACAUAAAAAAUACCGAUACAACAAA